UUCUUAUCAAGAGAGACGGAGGGAUUUGGCCCUGCGAUGUCUCAGCAACCAGCCUAACGGCAACGGUGCUAAUUCCAAUAGGCAGCAGCCUAGCAGAUGAGAA
rnacentral:ncRNA from 2 species